rnacentral:rRNA from 1 species
AGUGAACGCUGGCGGUAGGCCUAACACAUGCAAGUCGAACGGCAGCACAGUAAGAGCUUGCUCUUACGGGUGGCGAGUGGCGGACGGGUGAGGAAUACAUCGGAAUCUACUUUUUCGUGGGGGAUAACGUAGGGAAACUUACGCUAAUACCGCAUACGACCUACGGGUGAAAGCAGGGGAUCUUCGGACCUUGCGCGAUUGAAUGAGCCGAUGUCGGAUUAGCUAGUUGGCGGGGUAAAGGCCCACCAAGGCGACGGUCCGUAGCUGGUCUGAGAGGAUGAUCAGCCACACUGGAACGGAGACACGGUCCAGACUCCUACGGGAGGCAGCAGUGGGGAAUAUUGGACAAUGGGCGCAAGCCUGAUCCAGCCAUACCGCGUGGGUGAAGAAGGCCUUCGGGUUGUAAAGCCCUUUUGUUGGGAAAGAAAAGCAGCAGGUUAAUACCCCGCUGUUCUGACGGUACCCAAAGAAUAAGCACCGGCUAACUUCGUG